AUCACCACUGCCAAGAAGGAGAACUAAAAGAACUUGGAGAGCAACAGGAUGAGGCUUCUGAUGUCUUUAUUUUUUGUGUCUCUGUGGGUUGUUGCGUUUAGCAGUGUUUGGAUCGUGCAGUGGUCGACCAGAGAGAAAUAUGAAGUUGGAGAUUUGGCAGUCCUUCAGUGCAACAUCAGUUCUCAUCAAGAAACACUUCGUGCAUGCAAAAUAUCCUGGGCCAUUCACAACCAGAGCAACAAAAAUAGGAUAAUAGACAUUUUAAGGACAGAGAAAUUUCAAAACAGAACCAAAAUUCAUUCAAAAGCUACUUUUAGUGAAAUUACUCUCCACAACAUUUCAGUAAAGGACACAGAAGAGUUGCUCUGCACGGCAUCCUGCGUCAUUGAUGGAACACUGAGAAAGCUUACUGGCAAUGGGACUACGCUGAUUAUAACGGAACGAAAACCAGAGCCUGCACAUCCAUGGCUGAAAUAUCUUCUCUUCUCUGUUAAUCUGCUAGUCCUUUUAAUAGCCACUUUAAUCUGUGCAUUAAUAAUUCGAAAGAGGAAACAAUGAGACCAAAACAACCUACUUUCUACCUUGUGCAUUAUUCUCUGCUUUUUACAACCUUCAGUACUAUAAUUAUGAAUUCAUAUUGCUGAGGAGAAAACAUUACUGUAAUAUUGUAAUAUCAUUAGUAAUGACAAUGACUGGUGCAGUAAAAUCCUGGAAAACUGGUGUAAUUGCUUCUCUUCUUUAAAAGAUUGUUAUUGUUUUAAUAGAUGGGUAAUUGUCAUAACUCCUGCACAUCUUAUGAAUUCCAUCAACUACUGAAGUGAACUCUGACUCAUUAUACAACCCCAAUUCCAAUGAAGUUCAGACGUUGUGUAAAACA